UCGCGGUAGAGGCCGGAGGGGCUGGUGGCGUGUGAUUGCGCUUCUCGAGGUAGGGGGAGUGUGUGGUGAGCGUGUUGCGCGCGCGCGUGUGUGUGUGUGUGUGUGUGCACACGCCGUGCGCGCCGGGCGCGUACCUUUACCUCUGACGAAACUGCGGUGGAGCUCCCGCCGCCGUCGCCAGGCUCCGUCACACGCCCCGCGCCGGUGUCUGCGCCGAAGGCGGGUCCCAGCCUCCGUACUCCCGGAGCCUAGAGCUUGGGGUUAGGGAGACUGACUUCGGGAGGAGGGGCAGAGUCUCUCCAGGGACGAUUCUGUCCCCAGAUCUCUCAAUUGCCUGGGGGCGUCUCCUAAUCUCUCCGCUGAAAUUCGGAUGAGGAGGGAGGCCUGAAAUAGCCGGAGACUCCUUCAGGGACCCAUUGCAAGAACUGUCCGCUUUGGACCAUACCCCGGAUUUAAACUCCAUCUUCAGUGUUUGGCUUAGCAAUGAUUAAUUAUUUUGCCCUUUUAGCUACCUAGCGAGCCUAGCUAGCAGAAAUAUUUCACCCGAGGAAACUAGAAAAUUGAGUAAUCAGGUGUCAGCAGGAACAGUGCAGUGAAAGUUAAUCUGGGACAUUUGCUUUUUUUUUUCUUAACCACGUGACAGCCCAAGGAUCUUCUGGUGAUCUAUGCCGGCCCAACUUGGGAAAUGUAAUUGAUAGGAUGAGCUUUGAGCCGCCCCUAGAAGGCUCGCACAGCCCAGCCGGAAAAGGACCUGGGCGGGCCCAGCGUGCGCCUCCUCAUUUUACAGUUGGGGAAAGAGGCUGCGAGGAGUGAGCGGCUUGUACGGGACCACGCAGCCAGAGGGUGACAGAGCCACCCAGGGCUCCUGACUCCAGGUCCUGUGUGUUACCUCGAAAUAGCACUGGACUUGGAGUCAGAAGGCCUGAGUGGAGUCACCUUCCCCACUCUCUGGCUGGGUGACCCUGGGGCAAGCCAUUUGAACUCUCCAAGCCUCAUUUCCUCCAUCUGUCAAAUGGGGCUGGUGGUGCCGCAAGAGAAUCCAAUGGCCUGGUGGUGGGGAUCACAUCUUGUUCUUAAAAAAUAAGAGUCGCCAGGGUCGGUGGCUUAUGCCUGUAAUUAUAGCACAAGGCAGGUGGAUCACCCGGGGUCAAGAGUUCGGGACCAGGCUGGCCAACAUGGUGAAACCCCGUCUCUCUACUAAAAAUACAAAAAUUAGCCAGGCGUGGUGGCACACACCUGUAAUCCCAGCUACUCGGGAGGCUGAAGCAGGAGAAUCGCUCCACCCCGGAGGGGUGGAGGUUGCAGUGAGCCAAGAUUGAGCUGCUUCACUGCAGCCUGGGCAAAAGAGUGAAACUCCGUCUCAAGAAAAAAAGAAAAGUGGGGGUCAUCUUGAAUAUACUGAUUUGUAACUUGGAAUCUCACUGUUUUGUAAUUUGUUUUUUUUUUCCUCCUCCAAACAGUAUGCUGUAAGCAUCUUUCCACGUCAGUAAAUAUUUUGCUUAAUAUCUUAUUGGUUAUCUAAUGUUUCAUUGAGGAUCGAACUGAAUGUAUUUAAUCAAUUUUUUACUCAUUUAAGUUGUUUAAUUUUUUUAUUUUGCUAUGGUAAGCAGUGCUAAAAUGAAUAUCUCUGUGUGUAUCUCUUCGCUCCUUUUUUUAUUCCUAGAAGUGAAAUUACUCCAUCAGAAAAACCGUGCAGGCAUUUUGCAAACCCAUUCCUGGAUUGCCUUCUAGAAAGAUUGUACUUAUUCGCACGCCAGCAUAUCUGGUUUCCUAUACCCAGAUAACUGUUUGAUGUUUUCAUUGUUUUUCAUUUUUACCAGUCUGUUCAUCAAUAAAUUCUAUUACCCUUAUUGUUUUAAUGUGCAUUUAUUUGAUUGCUUGUGAUGCGGAACUUUUCCCCAUAUGAUCAAGGGCCAUUUGUGGUUCUGUGUUUCUGACCUUGGCCCAUUUUGCACUUGGUAUCCUGUCCCCUCGUUGUCCUAAAGCUGGGACUGAGCACUCAGAACAGACCCCUGCCACAUGGAGAACUGAGAAAAUGGCUCCAAACACCCCUUGGAGCCAAGGCCAACUUCCUUUUCAAAUCAGUUUGUGGGCUUGGACAAAUGUAUAGUGUGUGGGAGCAGGUUGAAGUGUAGUCUUCACUGGGUGCGUCUGCCCAUUAUUCAUCUGUAUGAGACCAGGGCGAGUAACUUCUUCACCUGAGCCAGAAGGGGUCAUGUUCACCAGAGACCUGGGCUCUAUUUUCGUUGGGAUUUCCUGGCUGGUGCUAAUGAUCAGGAUGCCUGUGAAACCCAGGAAAGGCAAUGGCCCAGCAGCGGGGCCCCAGGAGCUCAUAUUUCCCCUUUACCUUGGGGCCCUCCUCUCCCCAGCUGGUGCAGGCCAGGCAGACGUUCCACUGUGCCACUUGAGUCACCCUCUUCCUUCUUCCUCUGGAAUAGUAGAAGAAAGACUCAAGGUGCAAGUGAGAAGCAGCCUUGCAAAGGGGGCUCAGGCUUGGAAACACAUAACAAGAAUGUUGCAGUGUUGAUUCUUGUCUUCUCCUUCAUCAUUGUCAUCAUCAGUGAUGUUUACUGAGUAUCCCCUAGACCCCAUGCAGUUUUCUUAUCCUUCUGUUUGCACUACUACAUUUCAUUCUCAGAGAUUGUGCAAAAUGUAGGUGCUGUUGCACAGCUGUGCAGAUCUUAGACAGCUUCAGAGAACUCACUGACUUGUGGAAGACUAAUUAAUUACCUUUGAGUAAGUAGAAGAGCCAGCAUUAGUGAGCAGUGUUCCCAGACCACUUGACUCCAAGCUCCUUGAAGUCAGGGACUACUCUCUGUUUUUGUUCUUCAUUGCUUUCUAGAACCUUGAGCAAAUGAAGGCACACUGAUUGUAUAGAAAGAAUGCAGAACUCUUAGGUCCCUCUGCUUCUCUAGGCCUGAGUUUCUCAAUCCCUGAAAUGAGGAUAAUAGGCCCUAACUCUCAGGGUUGGGAGUGAAAUAAUACAGUGUAUCUAAAAUGAGCAUUAACCUGCUGCUCAUGAAACUUGGAAUAAUUCUCUCUUCGAAGCACUUUUAGAAGGACAGGAUUAAUUAUGAACCUAAUUUUCAUGCAUGCAAUCUUUUUUUGUGUAAAGAAGAGAAGCAUAAUUCUUAUUAUGUCAGGGUGAAGGGAACCCAAAUAAAGUCAUUUGGAAGAAAAUGAUCAGGGUCAGUUUCUAUCUGUCUUCCUUCAAGGUAUUCGGAGUGCCUCACAUCCAUCCCACUGACACUCAGCUGAUGGAAAAUUGCUUGGCUUGUCCUUUCUGUUCUUUUCCCCUUCUGAUCUAUGUUUUCUUCUGUUCAUAACUAGAUUCCUGCUGUUACUACCAAACAGAUCUUUGCCACACCAGACUUUGUCUUAGCCCUGAUGGCAGAUCAGACCUCUUAGAGUGCAGCAGUCUGACAUCAGUCUUGCGCUCACACAUCUCCCAUAGUUCCCCAGUACUUUUUAAAAAGACUUUAUUAUUUUAGAGCAAUUUCAGGUUCACAGCAAAACUGAAAGGAAGACACAGAGAUCUGCCAUCUCUGUGCCCUUCCCCCGCAAUGUGCAUAGCCUCCCCCAUUAUUAAUAUCCCCCACCAGAGUCGUAGAUUUGUUAUAAUUGAUGAACCUGCACUGAUACAUCAUCAUCACCCCAGAGUCUGUAGUUUAUGUUAGGGUUCCCUCUGUGGGUUUGGACAAAUGGAUAGUGACAGGUAUCCACCAUGGUGGCACCACACAGAGUAGUUUCACUACCCUAGAAAUCUUAUGUUCCACCUUUUCAUGUCUUCUGUCCCCCAGCUCCUGACAACCACUGAUCUUUUUACUGUCUCCACGGUUUUGCCUUAUCCAGAAUGCCGUAUAGUUGGAAGCAUGCAGUAUGUAGUCUUUUCAGACUGGCUUUUUUUUUCACUUGCUGAUAGGCAUUUAAGGGUCCUCCAUGACUUUGUUGGCUUGAUAGCUCAGCUGUCCAAUAUUUUAAAUUAAAGCCUAACUUGAAACCUGAUUUCUAAGGCCCUUCAGGUACUUUAAGUUGGAGAGUUAGGCCCUUGACUUUAUCUUGAGCUGUUUGCUCUUACUUUGGGAUCCUGUACCUCCCCAGGAAAACCAUGAUUUUCCCUUCUGGAGGCUUAGACUCAGCUGCUCUUUUCUGUGUCCUCUGUCUCCAUUUCCAUGAUUCAUUCUGCGAGCCCUGCUCACCAAGCAUUGUUUUGGCGAUACUUUCUCCCUGCCCUCCAAGCCAGCUGUUCCAUCAUCUGUGUGGCAGUAAGCAGGGCCAGCAGAGCACUGACCUUGAAAUCCCCUUACUGGGUUUGAGUCUUGGUUCUGCGAUUUGCCAGCUUCGAGGCCUUUGGCAGGUCACGUAACCUCUCUCAGCUUCCAUUUCCUCAAGUGGGAAGAUACGAUGAUUAAAGUUGUUGUGAAAAGACUGGGUGUGGUGGCUCAUGCCUGUAAUCCCAGCACUUUGGGAGGCUUAGGCGGGCGGACCACCUGAGGUCCGGAGUUGGAGACCAGCCUGGGCAACAUGACGAAUCCCCGUCUCUACUAAAAAUAUAAAAAUUAGCUGAGCAUGGUGGUGCAUGCCUGUAAUCCCAGCUACUUGGGAGGUUGAGGCAGGAAAAUUACUUGAACCAGUGAGGUAAAAGUUGUGGUGAGUUGGGAUCAUGCCACUACACUCCAGCUUGGGUGACAGAGUAAGACUCUGUCUCAAAAACAAAACAAAACAAAAAAGAUUGUUGUGAGGAGUCAAUGAAAAUUGAAUAGCAACAUGGAUUUAAAGCACGUGGCACAUGCCUGGCAUAGAAUAAGCACCAAAUAAUAGAUAUAUCUCUUCUCAUAUAGAUCUCAUUAAGUGUUAGGAAAUCACUCUUGGAGGUUAAGUUCCACAAAGACAAGGAUUUUCAUUCAUUUCAUCCCCCUUGUUUUCCACCACAAUGAAUAGAUCAGUGUCUGAAACAUAACAGACAUGGAGUCAGUCCUUACUGAGUGAAUGAAUAUGCUAGACUAUGAGCCUCUUCAGGGCAGUCACUGCUUCUUGUUUUAUAUCUUCAGUCCAUGUGUUCCUGGGAAGGGAUGGACUAAUACAAGUCUGGUGGAAUGAGCUGGAAUGUCCUCUCCUCACUACCAGCCCUGUCAUUUUAGUGUAUUUAUAGCCUACCUGAACUUUAAGCCCCCUCUUGAAAGGCCGUCCUCUCUGGAGAAAGCCUUGAAGCUAACUACUUCUGCGUCCACCACUCACAUGGCAUGUGCCACUUACUAUCCCAUGGUAUCUGGUGUGUGCUUUUAAUCCUACAACUGGACUGAAAGCUCUGGGAGGACAAGAAAUUAUUUUUAUCCUGGACUAGCACUGUGGUUGCCCAGAAGAGUGUUUUAUAUGUUUCAAUGUCAGGUUCUCUGAAAGGAAUUUUGUAUUUGAAACAUUUGACUAUGGAAAAUGUCAACUCAUACAGAAGUAGACAGUAGGGAGAACAAUAUGGCGAAUCCCCAUCCCUCCAUCACCCAGCGUCCACUGUAAAAGACGUGCAGCCACUCUUACUCCAUGUCAUUUCAUCUGUGACUAUUUCAGUGCAUAUCUGAAGAGACUUCGGAGUGCCAUUGCAUGGAUUUCUCCCAAUAACUGUGAGGUUGGCUUUCCCCUUUUGUACGUGACGAAACUGCAGGGAGGUUGGGUCAGUUGCUCAGGGUCUCAAAGCUAGUGAGCAGCUAGCCUGGGAUUUGAACCUUGGCUAUGAGCAGCUCUCUCUCCUUCCAGGCUUGGGGCAGGGGUCCUUGGAGAUAAAAGGUUCACCUUGCCUUUUCCAGAAGAGAAGACAUUGAGGUCCAGCUGCUUAGCUGGAGGAGGCCCAGGCCUGACUUCCUGGCAAGUUCAUUUCCAGUUUCAGGUCUUGGGGGUGUGGUGGGCCUUAGCUCUUGGGGAGGGCCCAGGGAGGGUAGUCCUCUGAGAGACACCAUUGCCCUGGGUGGCUGUGGGACCCUGGGGCAAGUUCUACCACCACUCCUGGACUGACGGCAUUUUCUUCCUUCUCAUGUCAUUCCUAAAUCCCAAAGGUCCCACUGCACCCCUUGCAGCUGACCAUGAGUUCUCUCAUGAGAUUCUCAGACUUACCCAGUGAGGGAGGCAGAGCCGAGGUGUCAGCAGCUGGAUUCACAGAGCUCAGAGAGGAGGGGCCUGACCUGAGGUCACCCAGUUGGGCUGGACACAGGGUUGACAGGCUCUUGGUGGCAUCUGGGCUCCUGUACGCGCACCCUGCUCUUUCCUCAGGAUAGAGACCGAAUUCCCACCCAGAUCUAGAGUAGGAGACAAGACCUGAGAGACUUUCACAAAUGGUAGGAUAAAGUCAUUGAUUAAUUACCCCCAAAGGCCUGUAAUGACUGUUUGGUGUUUUAGGUAAGAAAAUAAACAUUUGCCUUAAUUGUUUGUUUUAGUGGCUGAGAAGGCUCUGAAUUGUAGGAUUGAGAUCUGCUUGGGGCAAAGCCCUGUGAGCUUGGCAGAGAAUUUCUUUGGGCCUUCCUUUGCUAUCUAGGAAAUGGGGCCCACAGUAGAAUAUACUUUGAAGGGUUUUAGUGAAGAAUAGUUGAGGCAGUAUCUGUAAAGUGUUCAGAAAUGCUCAAUGAGUAGUAACCCUUGUUAAUAUUAAAAAGACAUACAUGUAAUGCAGACCCUGCCAUUUGUCUUCCCCCUGAGCUCCUGGUCCUUGAUCUAGUCAAGGCCCUGAGGUUCCUCUUGCAGAGCAUUUUUUCCUCUCAACUUCUGGGGCAGGUGACGAGGGUUCCUAUCCGGCCUUAGCAAGUGCCACAAUACUGACUUAGGAAACCACAUCUAAUGAGAUGCCACUUGAAGAGAGGAGAAGAAAUACCCCAGAGUGGUUCUGAGCUCUGGGCUUUGGAGUUUUAACUGCCUAUGGUUUAAAUCAGGGCUCUACCACUUACUAGCUGUGUGACCUUGAGCAAGUAUCUUAACCUCUCUGACCCCAGUUUCUUCAUAUAUUAUUUCCCAGAUUGGGGAUAAUAAUAGUAUUCUUUCUGUAGGAUAACUUAAUAUAGCUGCAGCCGGGCACAGUGGCUCAUGCCUGUAAUCCCAGCACUUAGGGAGGCCAACGAGGGCGGAUCACCUGAGAUCAGGAGUUUGAGACCAGCCUGGCCAGCAUGGUGAAACCUCAUCUCUACUAAAAAUACAAAAAUUAGCCGAGUAUGGCGACACAUACCUGUAAUUUCAGCUGCUUGGGAGGCUGAGGCAGGAGAAUCGCUUGAACCCAGGUGGCAGAGGUUGCAGUGAGCCAAGAUUGUGCCAUUGCAUUCCAGCCUGGUCAACAGGGUGAGACGC